AGCAGCCGCGGUAAUUCCAGCUCCAAUAGCGUAUAUUAAAGUUGUUGCAGUUAAAAAGCUCGUAGUUGAAUUUCGGGGUUAGUAGGUUGGUCAUGCCUCUGGUAUGUACUGGUCUCACUGAUUCCUCCUUCCUGAUGAUCCGUAAUGCCAUUAAUUUGGUGUUGCGGGGAAUUUGGACUGUUACUUUGAAAAAAUUAGAGUGUUUAAAGCAAGCUAACGCUUGAAUACAUUAGCAUGGAAUAAUGAAAUAGGACGUUCGACCCUAUUUUGUUGGUUUCUAGGAUCGACGUAAUGAUUAAUAGGGAUAGUUGGGGGUAUUAGUAUUCAAUUGUCAGAGGUGAAAUUCUUGGAUUUAUUGAAGACUAACUACUGCGAAAGCAUUUGCCAAGGAUGUUUUCAUUAAUCAAGAACGAAAGUUAGGGGAUCGAAGACGAUCAGAUACCGUCGUAGUCUUAACCAUAAACUAUGCCGACUAGGGAUCGGAUGAUGUUAAUUUUUUAAUGACUCA
rnacentral:rRNA from 1 species